rnacentral:lncRNA from 1 species
AGUCCUUCGCCGUCCCUCGCCGUCCUUCGCCAUCGCACGCCACCGCACCCCAUCUCUCGAAAUCUGCAGACAUCUUGAUUUUUCCCACGCUGUCUGUCAGGUCUCCGCCGCCACUCGACGCCAGGGCGCCGGGCCUUGUGGGCUGUGCUGCACCUCGGACGGCUUCGCACCAGCCAGCGCCCUCUCUCUCCUGCAGCACUCUGAUCUGCACCCCCUGAGGGGCUUCCACUGUCCGCGGGGUGAGAAUGCCCCUGGGAGUGUCACAUGACUGCCGCCCCAUGUGUGUGAGAGGCGUCCUCUGGGAGAGCAUGGAUCCUGAGGUCCCAGGAUUGUCAGCUGACCUCUGUCCUGUGUGCCCAGUGGCCCCAGGUGACGUGUCUUCAAGAAGAGGCUGAGCUGCGGUGCUUGUAAGAGUCAUGUGCUGUUCCUGGGGCUUGGAUGAUGUAGGGGAAGCAAGGUGAAAGUGGUAUCCCGUGGUUCCACGUUCUGUCCUGCUGUGGGGCUGUCCCUCACAUGCUUUCAGUGGCUGUUGCAGAGGAAGAGCCUCCGGAAAUCUGCGUGGGUAAAGUGAGCUCCCCGGGGGAACCGUCCUCCUCCCUUGAGCGCUGGUGUGUCCAUAGUGUGCUGUGAUCUGGAUUAGCAGUCUCAGCCUUAGAUCCAAGGACAGUCCAAGGAAGUCCUAAGACCAUGGAGUUGGUGAUCUGGGAUCUGGGUUUGCUGAUAUUUCUCACCGUGAAUCUCUUGGUGGUGUUUGUGGGCACGAGAGGGGCAGAGAAUGGAGAGUGAGGCUACCACAUGAAGCGUCACCAGAGCUGCUCCCUGCUGCCUGCUCAGAGCACCCCGGAUCCACUGUUCAAUCUGCACAAGAUUCGGGGUCCAGACAUGGGAGACUUCAGCUGCCUCAGAGGACCGUGGACAGGGAAGGCCAGCCUCGCAUCCCUCUGUCCAUGCCUGGAAUGACUUUAAUAACCAAGAGUUUUAUUUUUGAAUUUGUAGCUGUCGUUCACUUUUUACCCACCCAUUCAAUAAACCUUACAGAAUUGCUCCA